UACGUAGGGUGCAGGCGUUUAAUCGGAAUUACUGGGCGUAAAGCGUGCGCAGGCGGUUUUGUAAGUCUGUCGUGAAAUCCCCGGGCUCAACCUGGGAAUUGCGAUGGAGACUGCAAGGCUAGAAUCUGGCAGAGGGGGGGUAGAAUUCCACGUGUAGCAGUGAAAUGCGUAGAGAUGUGGAGGAACACCGAUGGCGAAGGCAGCCCCCCUGGGUCAAGAUUGACGCUCAUGCACGAAAGCGUGGGGGAGCAAACG
rnacentral:rRNA from 1 species